UUAAUUACAAAGAUACUCAUCGAUCAUUACAAAUUUUUCCACUGGUUAUUUUCGAGAAAGAUAGUAGAACAUAUGUAAUUAAACGAGCCCCUGAACUUUACAACGCGUUAUCGAUCAACUCACCUGGUAGGCGCGGAAAAUGGCCGAUUAGAUCAUGGCCGACUAAAUACAAGAUAAACAUCUUCGGAUCGGAAGAUUUGCCAAUUAAUAAAGUCAGGAGAAAUCACCGUUUAUCCAAAUGGAGAUCAUCAUUUUCCACGAACGCUUCGUAAUUAUGGAGAAUGAAAUAUAAAAAUAAAAGAAGAUUGUAGAAAGUAAUCGACGUUGAAUUCAGUGACUUUUUACUAUUUAUCCGGUGAAAUUUACUCGAUGUUCCACAUAUUUUUCACUGAUUGCGUGCUUAUCAAUCGCAAAUGACGUAUAUAAUACAAACAAAAUUUUCGAAUAACGAGCGAAUCGAAAUUUCUUGCGAUGAAAAAAGGUAAUGCAUUAGUAAUUCAAAUUCACGGAUUAGCACAAUGUUUUGCUAUGAUGAGAAACGUCUAACAUCAUUUGCAUAAUUGUAAAAAGAAGUAUAGAAAUAAUGAAGAGAAAAUAUAUCAAGCAUAUCGAUGCGUGACUUCUUUGUUUACCGAUCAAACAGAUCUUCCUUUCUUGACUUAAAAGUAUUCCAAUAUUGGAUGAGUUGUAUCUAUUCAUAAGAAAAAU